AAAAAAAAAAAAACAGCCAAAGACCUCCCCCAGACCGCCCUGGCUGCCGCCCCUCCCCCUGCGCGCUCUCACCCGGCCCCUGGGUCCUACUGCCCCCCAAUGGAGGGAGGGGGGCGCCCUGGGAACCCCCAGCAGAGAGGCCGGGCACCGGACCGCACGACCUGCGCUGCGCGUGGACACUGCGGAGACUCCGGACUUUUCCGGUUCUGGAGGCCACAGUUCCUUCUUUGGCUGUGAAAUGUGGUGCUGUCAUUCGUUGCUUCCUUCCCAUCUGUGCUACAGAUACAGCUGAGAAAAGGACAAAGUCUCUGCCCUCAAGGAUGUACAUGAUGAGAAGGAAACAUGCAGGGUGCGACUUCUUCUUGCCACCCUACUCCCUGCCAGUUGACAGACACAGGCACAGAGCUCCUGACCCCAGCGGAGGGCUCCGUCCAUUGUACCAGCUCUUCCGUGGCUCCCACUGGUCCCUGGAGAAAAUCCAAGCCCCUUCUUUGCCCUCGUCACCUUGCAUCAGGAGUGCCAGGUUGCAAAGACAGUUCUAGAUGUCAGAAGACUAAAAUGGGUCCGCGGGGCUGUGUAUCUUCUGGGGCCUCUAGGCACAAAUCUGUUUCCUUGCCCUUUGGAGCUUCUGGAAGCCGCCUGCAUUGCUUGACCUGUGGCCCCUUCCUCCAUCUUCAAAGUUGCGUGAAGAAAGCGUGAGUUGGGCGGCCGUUGAUCUCAGAAUGAGAGGCAGGUGGAACAGACCUGAGCCUGAAAGCCCGAAGCAGAGCAUUUCCUGCCACGCCAGCCUACCUGCAGACUGUGAGCAACACAGAGAGAUACUGUUUAUAAGCCAUCAAGAUUUUUAGUUGUUUGUUACACAGCAUCAUUAUGGCAGUAGCUGACCAGUGCACCAAGGUAAGAGAAAUCACCACCAGAAGUCACACUAGAAGUCACAAUGUGUGAAUCCUCUCGUUGCUAUCCAUGCAGAAUUGCUCAGUAAAACAAAAGUUCAAAAUAUUACAAACAAACAUCAUUGAGACUGAAAAGGCAUGUUUGUGUAUUGAUCAAUGUGGGAGAAGCUGGGAAGAUUGUCUGCCAAGCACCUUUUUUUCCCCCAAGAAUUGCCCCUGCCCCACCAUCCAUGUUUGCAAACACAGAUACCACAUUCCUUUGCUCUCAACUUCCAUGAUGAAGACUGAGGACCAUGGUCAUUCUAGGCCGAAUGCCUUCUUUCCAAGAAUUUUGCAACUAGGACAGAGAUAGCAAACUCAGUUUCUCUUUGGGUGGAUGGACCAUAAUAUUCAUUUGGGACCUGUUGGAUGGCCCUGUUUUUUGCCUCAUCCAGAGGCGUGACCCUACCCCUGCCCUUAGAAGUUGGGGGACUCCCCCAUAUCCUUUCACUGAAUUCCCCUUUAUGCUGAAACUUGUUCUGUUACAGAAACUGAAUAAGAAGAGAAGUCUGUGGGUUCUGGCAUGGGCUGGGUGCUCAGCAAAGUUUCCUUGAGUUGAGUUAUUAUAGGAAGCCACAGUUAGUAUCACCUUUCCUGAGGUGUUGGCUGGUUGGGGUAUUUCCAGUUUUCUACCCUGAAGAAGAGCACCCAUGAUUGCCUCUUAGGUGCAUGAUGCUCGAGACAGGACAUCAACUGAGUGACACUCCUGUUUCUUCCCCCAUCCCUGCUGCUCCUGGAGAUAAAGGAUGCCCUUCCGUUCUCUGCACAAGAGAAAGGCAUGGUGAAAAAGAACACCAGAUUAUCUUUACCCCGGAUUUACCCCUUCCUAGCUGUGUGACUGUGGGCGUGCUACUUAACCUCCAGGUUGGUUUUCUCACGUCGGUAAGUGACAACCAUAACAGCUUACCCUCUAGGGCUGUGAUGAAGCUUAAGAGCAAAAUACUUGUCAACAAGCAAAAACAACCUGAUUCAAAAACAAGCAAAGAACUAGAGUAGACAUUUCUUCAAAGAAGAUAAACAGAUGACCAAUAAGCACAUGAAAAGAUGCUUAACAUCACUAACCAUUAGGAAAUUGCAAAUCGAAACCACAAAGCUGGGGCGCCUGGGUGGCUCAGUCAGUUAAGUGUCUGACUUCUGCUCAGGUCAUGAUCUCGCGGGUUUUGAGUUCACACCCCACAUCGAGCUCUCUGCUAUCAGUACAGAGCCCACUUCCGAUCCUACCUCCCCCACUCUCUCUCUCUGCCCCUCCCCUGCUAGUUCUCUUUCUCUCUCUCUCAUAAUAAAUAAAUAAACUUUAAAAAAAAAAGAAGAUAAUACUUCGUACCCACUGGGAUGGCUAUUAUCAAAAAACAUAAAAAUAACAAGUGUUGGAGAGGAUGUGGAAACACUGGAACCCUUGUGCACUGCUGGUGGGAAGGUAAAAUGUUGCAGCCACUGUGGCAAACAGUAUUUAACACUUAAAAUUUUUCAUUUUUAAAAUUUUAAUUAAAACAUAUUGAAAAUAGAACGACCAUAUAACCCAGCAAUUCCACUAAUGGGGAUCUACCCAACAGAAUUGAUACUCGCACGCCCAAGUCCACAGCAGCACUUUUCAUGGCAGCCAAGAGAUGGAAGCAACUCCACGACCCAUUGACGGAUGGAGAAACAAAAUAUGUGACAUAUCCAUACAACGGACUAUUAUCCGGUCUUGAAAAGGAAGGAAAUCCUGGCACAUGCUACAACAUGGACGAACCUUGAAGACAUUACGCUGAGUGAAUAAGUCUGUAUGGUUUCGCUUGUAUGAGGUAACAAAUUCAUGAAGAUGGAAAGUAGAAUGGUGGUUGCCGGGGGCUGGGGGAUGAGGGAAUAGGAAGUUAUUGUGUAAUGGGCGUGUCUUUCAGUUUCAUAAGAUGAAAAAAGUCCUGGAGAUGAGCAGUGCUGAUGGUUGCAUAACAGUGUGCAUGGGCUUUAUGCCACUGAACUCUACACUAAAAAUGGUGAGGGGCGCCUGGGUGGCUCCAUCGGUUGGACAUCUGUCUUCGGCUCAGGUCAUGAUCUCGCGGUUCCUGAGUUCGAGCCCCGCGUCGGGCUCUGUGCUGCCAGCUCAGAGCCUGGAGCCUGCUUCGCAUUCUGUGUCUCCCCCUCUCUCCACCCCUUCCCCACUCAC